GUGGCAUGGGGAGAAAAUCCUCUCCUGAUUGGCGUGAUGGAAGAAGAAAGGAUGUUGGGUUUGGAUCCAGAUCGGAAUCUAUUAGGAUUCGAACCCAUAAUGGCCUAUCAGAUUUUUGAAUUUUGGAUUUAAUCCAUUAAAUUUUGGAUCUGACCUGAAUCUGAUUUUAUUUAAACUAUUUUUGCAAAUAACACCUUGAAAAAUAUUUUAUUAUAUUCAGGUC
rnacentral:lncRNA from 1 species